GGGGGUAUAGCUCAGUGGUAGAGCGCAUGCUUGGCGUGCGUGCGUGUGCGCGCGAGGUCCUGGGUUUGAUCCUCAGUGCCUCCG
rnacentral:tRNA from 1 species